rnacentral:lncRNA from 1 species
UCUUCUUCCUGCGGUUCCAAGGAAUCCAGCUAGGGCGGCCGCCCUAGCUCGCCAACACCUAGAUCCGCCAUUGUAACACUGUACCCACCCCAAACUGUAUAAUCUCUCUCUUCAUGAAUUCUCAAUCCUUCGUACCAACUCUCAAAUGUGUUAAACCAGAAGGGGAACAUGACCAUCUAGCCUCACCAGUGGCAGCAAAAUUUACCACUCUAAAUCUAAGCAAUCCGAUCAACAUCAACCUGAAUUCCACAAAUCUUAGUUGUACGUUCAACACCACCUGCAUCUCAGCAACGUCGUCUUCCUCAUCUUCUUCUCUAUAAUUGGUCCAGUGAUGGGUAAUUUAUGUAUAUGUGUACUGAUCUCUGUGUAUGUAUGCAGCGCACGAUCAAUCUAUAUAUAUGUGUGCAGAUCUGCGUUUAUAGAAACGACGUCGAUUUGUGUGUAUGUAUGGUGGUAUGAUGUAGUGGUGGCGAUCGUGGUGAAGUGGCGAUGGUGCAAGUGGUGCUACGUUGGAUGUAGUGGUGGUGGUAGAUUUUGGAUCUGAUGCAACGGCGAUGACAUUUUGGGUGAUGAUGGUGGUGGAGAGGAUGUGAUCAGGUGGGGAGAUGAAGGAUAAU